AGCGAACGUUAGCGGCACGCCUAACACAUGCAAGUCGCACGAGAAAGGGAGCAAUCCUGAGUAGAGUGGCGCACGGGUGCGUAACACGUAGAUAACCUGCCCUUUGGAGGGGGAUAACGUUCCGAAAGGAGCGCUAAUACCGCAUAACGCUGCGAGAGGUUUGCCUCUUGCAGACAAAGGUAGGGACCCGCAAGGGCCUAUCGCCAGAGGAGGGGUCUGCGGCCCAUCAGCUAGUUGGUGAGGUAAUGGCUCACCAAGGCAGAGACGGGUAGCUGGUCUGAGAGGAUGAUCAGCCACACUGGUACUGGAACACGGACCAGACUCCUACGGGAGGCAGCAGUGGGGAAUCUUGGUCAAUGGGCGCAAGCCUGAACCAGCGAUGCCGCGUGAGUGAUGAAGGCCUUCGGGUUGUAAAGCUCUGUGGGGAGGGACGAAAGAGCUUGGUCUAAUAGGCCGAGUGUUGACGGUACCUCCUUAGCAAGCACCGGCUAACUCUGUGCCAGCAGUCGCGGUAAGACAGAGGGUGCAAACGUUGCUCGGAAUCACUGGGCGUAAAGGCCGUGUAGGCGGGAAGGAUAGUCAGAUGUGAAAUUCCCAGGUUUAACCUGGGAACUGCAUUUGAAACUCCCUUUCUUGAGUAUCGGAGAGGAAAGCGGAAUUCCUGGUGUAGAGGUGAAAUUCGUAGAUAUCAGGAGGAACACCAGUGGCGAAGGCGGCUUUCUGGACGGUAACUGACGCUGAGACGCGAAAGCGUGGGGAGCAAACAGGAUUAGAUACCCUGGUAGUCCACGCUGUAAACGAUGAGUGCUAGGUGUCGUGGGUAUUGACCCCUGCGGUGCCGCAGCUAACGCAUUAAGCACUCCGCCUGGGAAGUACGGUCGCAAGACUA
rnacentral:rRNA from 1 species